CCUCCCCCCUCCCCGCCCGCCUAGCGCCCGCGCCCUGGGACGUCCGGGGGCCUGUGACCCGGAGGCGCUGGGGCUGUCCUGGGUCGUCACAUGCGAGAAAUCGUCUCACCCCAGCCAGUGUGACGGAGUGAGAGCAAAAGAAAGUUUUGAUAGCAGCGUACGAUUUAUAUUCAGCUGUAUGCUGGGCAGGUCCAACUUGGCAUUUCUUGGCUGUAUCUCUGAAGGAAAGUCAUCUUAAUCUCUAUGAGCCUCCAUUUCCUCAGCUGUAAAAUGGGAAGAUCUUCCUCACACUGCUGUGACAUUUAGUGAGUGCCUGCUGUGUGUCAUCCAUUGUGACAGUGUUGGGAACACGGAGAUGAAUAAAACAAGGCCCCUGUCCUGGGAGAGCCGAGAGGCCACCUGUCAGCUGACAUCUUAGGGAGGACACCAUCUACAUCCAACCCUGACUACUGAACACUUCCAGUUUCUUGGAAGAAAGAUUUUAAAAUCUUCAGAAAUGAGAACUCCUCCAAAUAGGAUUUUCAUUUGUUUCAUAUAUUUUAAAAUUUUAUAUUUUAAUAUGUAACAGUCAUAUGGUUUAAAUAUAAAAAUGACAUCAGUGGCUCAGUAAGAA
ensembl:lncRNA SRP14-DT SRP14 divergent transcript